AGUCAGAAGUGAAAGCCCACGGCUCAACCGUGGAACUGCUUUUGAAACUGCAAGUCUAGGAUCCGGGAGGGGUGAGUGGAAUCCUAGUGUAGAGGUGAAAUUCGCAGAUAUUAGGAGGAACACCAGUGGCGAAGGCGACUCACUGGACCGGCAUUGACGCUCAGACACGAAAGCGUGGGGAUCAAACAGGAUUAGAUACCCUGGUAGUCCACGCUGUAAACGAUGUGUGUUAGUUGUCAGGCCCAUAGGGUUUGGUAACAAAGCGAAAGUAUUAAACACACCGCCUGGGGAGUACGGCCGCAAGGCUAAAACUCAAAGGAAUUGACGGGGACCCGCACAAGCGGUGGAGCAUGUUGUUUAAUUCGAAGCAACGCGAAGAACCUUACCCACACUUGACAUCCUCCUUGGGACUUUCAGAGAUGAUUGUCUUCGGUUCGGCCGGGGGAGUGACAGGUGCUGCACGGCUGUCGUCAGCUCGUGUCGUGAGAUGUUUGGUUAAGUCCAGCAACGAGCGCAACCCUUAUCGUAUGUUGCCAGCAGGUCAAGCUGGGCACUCGUGCGAGACUGCCGGUGAUAAGCUGGAGGAAGGCGGGGACGACGUCAAGUCAUCAUGGCCCUUACGUGUGGGGCUACAAACGUGCUACGAUGGCUACGACAAUGGGCAGCGAACCCGCGAGGGUAAGCGAAUCUCAAAACGUAGUCUCAGUUCGGAUUGUUCUCUGCAACUCGAGAGCAUGA
rnacentral:rRNA from 1 species